rnacentral:lncRNA from 1 species
CCCAAAUUUCAUUUUGAAUUGUAAUCCCUGUGUCUCAAGGGAGGAUCCUGGUGGGAGGUGAUUGAAUUAUGGGAGUGGUUUACCCUAUUCUGUUCUACUAAUAGUGAGUGAGUCUCAGGAGAUCUGAUGGUUUUAAAAGUGGCAGUUUUUCUUGUGCACGCUCUCUCUCUCACCUGCCGGCAUGUAAGAAGUGCCUUACAUCUUGAUUUUUUUUUCUUCCUUGGUGGACUUUUUAUAGCCUACGAGGAGCUGGUGGGCUUUGAAUUUUCAAGCUAUGCCCACAAUCAUUGUUAUCACUGCAAUAAGAGUUGCAAAAGUUGGACACAUGGAUGAGACAGAGAUCUGAUUAAUGAAAAUAACUUUAUUUUAGAGGGAAGUGGACUGUAAAUGGAAUUCUAAAAAUUCCAUCCUACCUUCCAGGAGAUGUGGGUUACCUCUAAACUUAAGCAAAGUAGUGUUGGAUAUUGUGAAGAAUAUCUCUCAACUGGAUUGUCUGAUGUUUUCCCUACGAUUAGACUGAGAUUACCAGUUUUGGGGAGAAAGAUCACAAAGACUCCACUACAGACCUGGAUGUGGUCGUGCCUGUGGAGGCAGAAGGGCUGUGGGGAGUUUUCAUUCAGCAGCCUAGUCUGA